CCGCCUCGACCUCUCAGAGUGCUGGGAUUACAGGCAGGUGUGAACCACUCUGCCCGACCAAAAUUCUGAAGUUUCUAAAGAAAAACUUUCCUGAAGACAAAUGGGUAUUUUGGGGAAAACAGGUAUGUGCAGCAACUGUGUACUUCCCUUGAGAGACUAGAGUUCCUUUGUUUAAAAAUUAGGAAUCAUAACCCAUGCACCCUCCCCGAUUCUUCCACUGCAUUUUUUCUUCCUCAGAUGUUUGUAAAGGAUUGAUCUUCCUAGUCUAGUUCCAGCUCAUCUAGCUUGGCAGCUCUGCUCACACAAGCAUCUGGCGCUUCCAACAAGUGUUCCUGCCACUCCUGUGGGCGGCAGCCAGUCAGUCCCUAACUCAGGGGAGGUACUUAUAUCUGCACGUCAAUGCCUCAGAAGCCUGAAGGCCAAGGUUGCCAGCCCAGGUUAUUUCUGGUUCUCUGGUUCUUCUCAACAUGCUCACCUGUUCUCUGAUGGAUUCUUUGCAUCUCCC
rnacentral:lncRNA from 1 species